rnacentral:rRNA from 1 species
UACAGAGGGUGCGAGCGUUAAUCGGAAUUACUGGGCGUAAAGCGCGCGUAGGCGGCUUUGCAAGUCGGGUGUGAAAUCCCCAGGCUUAACCUGGGAACUGCAUUCGAGACUGCAUUGCUAGAGUAUGGGAGAGGGAAGUGGAAUUUCCGGUGUAGCGGUGAAAUGCGUAGAUAUCGGAAGGAACACCAGUGGCGAAGGCGACUACCUGGCCUGUUUCUUGACGCUGAGGCGCGAAAGCUAGGGGAGCAAACGGG